UGGGGAAUCUUGCACAAUGGGCGGAAGCCUGAUGCAGCGACGCCGCGUGGGGGAUGACGGCCUUCGGGUUGUAAACUCCUUUCGCCAGGGACGAAGCCGUGAGGUGACGGUACCUGGAUAAGAAGCACCGGCUAACUACGUGCCAGCAGCCGCGGUAAUACGUAGGGUGCAAGCGUUGUCCGGAAUUACUGGGCGUAAAGAGCUCGUAGGUGGUUUGUCGCGUCGUCUGUGAAAUUCCGGGGCUUAACUCCGGGCGUGCAGGCGAUACGGGCAUAACUGGAGUGCUGUAGGGGAGACUGGAAUGCCUGGUGUAGCGGUGAAAUGCGCAGAUAUCAGGAGGAACACCGAUGGCGAAGGCAGGUCUCUGGGCAGUAACUGACGCUGAGGAGCGAAAGCAUGGGUAGCGAACAGG
rnacentral:rRNA from 1 species